UACGUAGGGUGCGAGCGUUGUCCGGAAUUAUUGGGCGUAAAGGGCUCGUAGGCGGUCUGUUGCGUCGGGAGUGAAAACUCAGGGCUUAACCCUGAGCCUGCUUCCGAUACGGGCAGACUAGAGGUAUGCAGGGGAGAACGGAAUUCCUGGUGUAGCGGUGAAAUGCGCAGAUAUCAGGAGGAACACCGGUGGCGAAGGCGGGUCUCUGGGCCGUAACUGACGCUGAGGAGCGAAAGCAUGGGGAGCGAACAGG
rnacentral:rRNA from 1 species